rnacentral:tRNA from 1 species
CACUAAGAAGCUAAACCGGUAUCAAGCGUUAGCCUUUUAAGCUAAAAACUGGUGAUUACCUCUCACCCCUAGUGA